rnacentral:rRNA from 1 species
AGUGAACGCUGGCGGUAGGCCUAACACAUGCAAGUCGAACGGCAGCACAGGAGAGCUUGCUCUCUGGGUGGCGAGUUGCGGACGGGUGAGGAAUACAUCGGAAUCUACCUUUUCGUGGGGGAUAACGUAGGGCAACUUACGCUAAUACCGCAUACGACCUACGGGUGAAAGGGGGGGACCGCAAGCCCUCACGCGAUUAGAUGAGCCGAUGUCCGAUUAGCUAGUUGGCGGGGUAAUGGCCCACCAAGGCGACGAUCGGUAGCUGGUCUGAGAGGAUGAUCAGCCACACUGGAACUGAGACACGGUCCAGACUCCUACGGGAGGCAGCAGUGGGGAAUAUUGGACAAUGGGCGCAAGCCUGAUCCAGCCAUACCGCGUGGGUGAAGAAGGCCUUCGGGUUGUAAAGCCCUUUUGUUGGGAAAGAAAUCCUGUCGAUUAAUACUCGGUGGGGAUGACGGUACCCAAAGAAUAAGCACCGGCUAACUUCGUGCCAGCCGCCGCAGUAAUAC